GUACUUUUUAAUGUUCUGUGAUUGUUAUAGAGUUCAAAUUUUUAAAGUUACUUAUAAAUCUAUUUGUUUUUAGAUGUUUUUAAGCUUCUGGAUCAUACUUUUAAAAUACCUCACUCUAUUGAUGCCAACAUCUGAAGCCUUACAACAGCAUACCUUUCAAUAAUAUCUCACUCAAUAUUACAUCAUGUGUAAAAAUGCGCAUUUGAAUACAAUUAAAAUGUGUCAUUUCUCAGAAAAAUUUAAAAGUGCUUAUUUAAAUUUUUCUAAAAAUGGCAUGUAAUUUAUUAAUGCUUUGAUUCAGACAUUGAAGAUUUGUUAUCAAAACAACAUUUAAAGUUUAAAAAUCAAUCAUCUUCAACAAUUACAACACAAACUAAUUUUCGUGGUUUUAAAGACUAUAUCAAUUUGAUCCUGUAUAUUUGUACAAAGAUAUCAUGAGUGUUUGUUCCAGCAAUAAAGUCAUAUAUGAAAGAUUUAAAAAGCUUCAUCAACUUACAACAACAGACUCUAGAUUCCAAUAUUAGACUAAAUUUAGACCUAAAAGGUUGUGACAAAACCCUGAAGAU